GAUGAACGCUGGCGGCGUGCCUAAUACAUGCAAGUCGAGCGAACGGACGAGAAGCUUGCUUUUCUGAUGUUAGCGGCGGACGGGUGAGUAACACGUGGAUAACCUACCUAUAAGACUGGGAUAACUUCGGGAAACCGGAGCUAAUACCGGAUAAUAUUUUGAACCGCAUGGUUCAAAAGUGAAAGACGGUCUUGCUGUCACUUAUAGAUGGAUCCGCGCUGCAUUAGCUAGUUGGUAAGGUAACGGCUUACCAAGGCAACGAUGCAUAGCCGACCUGAUAGGGUGAUCGGCCACACUGGAACUGAGACACGGUCCAGACUCCUACGGGAGGCAGCAGUAGGGAAUCUUCCGCAAUGGGCGAAAGCCUGACGGAGCAACGCCGCGUGAGUGAUGAAGGUCUUCGGAUCGUAAAACUCUGUUAUUAGGGAAGAACAUAUGUGUAAGUAACUGUGCACAUCUUGACGGUACCUAAUCAGAAAGCCACGGCUAACUACGUG
rnacentral:rRNA from 1 species